rnacentral:rRNA from 2 species
GACUACCGGCUUAACACAUGCUAGUCGAGGGGAAACGAUAGAGAAAGCUUGCUUUUUCUAGGCGUCGACCGGCGCACGGGUGAGUAACGCGUAUCCAACCUGCCCACCACUUGGGAAUAACCUUGCGAAAGUAAGACUAAUACCCAAUGAUAUCUCUAGAAGACAUCUGAAAGAGAUUAAAGAUUUAUCGGUGAUGGAUGGGGAUGCGUCCGAUUAGCUUGUUGGCGGGGUAACGGCCCACUAAGGCGACGAUCAGUAGGGGUUCUGAGAGGAAGGUCCCCCACAUUGGAACUGAGACACGGUCCAAACUCCUACGGGAGGCAGCAGUGAGGAAUAUUGGUCAAUGGGCGAGAGCCUGAACCAGCCAAGUAGCGUGCAGGAUGACGGCCCUAUGGGUUGUAAACUGCUUUUAUAAGGGAAUAAAGUGAGCCUCGUGAGGCUUUUUGCAUGUACCUUAUGAAUAAGGACCGGCUAAUUCCGUGCCAGCAGCCGCGGUAAUACGGAAGGUCCGGGCGUUAUCCGGAUUUAUUGGGUUUAAAGGGAGCGUAGGCCGGAGAUUAAGCGUGUUGUGAAAUGUAGAUGCUCAACAUCUGCACUGCAGCGCGAACUGGUUUCCUUGAGUACGCACAAAGUGGGCGGAAUUCGUGGUGUAGCGGUGAAGUGCUUAGAUAUCACGAAGAACUCCGAUUGCGAAGGCAGCUCACUGGAGCGCAACUGACGCUGAAGCUCGAAAGUGCGGGUAUCGAGCAGGAUUAGAUACCCUGGUAGUCCGCACGGUAAACGAUGGAUGCCCGCUGUUGGUCUGAAUAGGUCAGCGGCCAAGCGAAAGCAUUAAGCAUCCCACCUGGGGAGUACGCCGGCAACGGUGCAACUCAAAGGAAUUGACGG